UUCCUCUUUAUGAAAUCCUGUCCCUCUAGGGCUUCACAUGUACAUAGUUCUUACUGGAUUGACGGGGUUUGUGAGCGUUGGUUCCGGUGAAGUCAGCUAUUCACCAAGUUUCAUGAGUGUUUGAUGGACUGUAGUCGGUGUAGACAGACAAGGCUAUGCACCAAGUGAGUAAACAUAUAAACAUAUACACAUUACCACAACAUAAAAGUGUUACAAAUCUGGGGCCGUAUUCACAAAGCAUUUUAUCUUACCGCUAGGAGUGCUCCUAACUCGCGCUAAAACAUUUUACGUAGGAGUUUUUUCUUAAAAGUUAUUCACAAAGCCGCUGAGACCUACUCUUACUAAGGAUAAAUCACAAAGAGUGAACUAAGAGUGACGCGCCGUUGCUAUGGAUUACGUCAAUUCUCGUGCACGAGUUUAGAAGCGGUCAGUUCGGUGAUUGGUUGUUCAGACGAGCCCACUGAAUCACCGAAAAACAAGGAAAUAGCCCAGGCUAGAAAUGAAUCCCUAUUAAGUAGUUAUAGUGCAGUUAGCAGAAUACACGCAUGAUGACAAUUUUGUGCAGACCACGAUAAUGACGUUGUAGCCUGCACGUUCAAGAGAGAGAGAAAGCAAACAAUAAAAAUACGUAAAAUCUAAAAGAAAAUAAAUGUUACGAACUA